rnacentral:rRNA from 1 species
UACGUAGGUGACAAGCGUUGUCCGGAUUUACUGGGCGUAAAGAGCGCGCAGGCGGUCGUUCAAGUCGAGUGUGAAAGCCCCCGGCUCAACUGGGGAGGGUCACUCGAUACUGAUCGACUCGAAGGCAGAAGAGGGAAGCGGAAUUCCCCGGUGUAGUGGUGGAAAUGCGUAGAGAUCGGCAGGGAACACCCCAGGGGGGAAACCAGC